AUUGAACGCUAGCGGGAUGCUUUACACAUGCAAGUCGAACGGCAGCGCGGACUUCGGUCUGGCGGCGAGUGGCGAACGGGUGAGUAAUGUAUCGGAACGUGCCCAGUAGCGGGGGAUAACUACGCGAAAGCGUAGCUAAUACCGCAUACGCCCUACGGGGGAAAGCAGGGGAUCGUAAGACCUUGCACUAUUGGAGCGGCCGAUAUCGGAUUAGCUAGUUGGUGAGGUAACGGCUCACCAAGGCGACGAUCCGUAGCUGGUUUGAGAGGACGACCAGCCACACUGGGACUGAGACACGGCCCAGACUCCUACGGGAGGCAGCAGUGGGGAAUUUUGGACAAUGGGGGCAACCCUGAUCCAGCCAUCCCGCGUGUGCGAUGAAGGCCUUCGGGUUGUAAAGCACUUUUGGCAGGAAAGAAACGUCGCGGGCUAAUACCCCGUGGAACUGACGGUACCUGAAGAAUAAGCACCGGCUAACUACGUG
rnacentral:rRNA from 1 species